rnacentral:rRNA from 1 species
CAAUAGCGUAUAUUAAAGUUGUUGCAGUUAAAAAGCUCGUAGUUGGAUGUCUGGCUCUGUGUUGCGGUCCACCGCAAGGUGAGCACUGCGAUGUGGGGUCUUCCUCUUGAAUGCUGCGUGUGCUCUUAGUUGAGUGUGCGUGGGGUUUGGGAUCUUUACUUUGAAAAAUUAGAGUGUUCAAAGCAGGCGAUUGCUUGAAUAUAUUAGCAUGGAAUAAUGGAAUAGGACUUGGGUUCUAUUUUGUUGGUUUCUAGGACCGAGGUAAUGAUUAAUAGGGGUAGUUGGGGGCGAUUCGUAUUUAAUUGUCAGAGGUGAAAUUCUUGGAUUCGCUGAAGACUAACUUAUGCGAAAGCAUUCACCAAGGAUGUCUUCUUUAAUUCAGAACGAAAGUUAGGGGGAGUCGAAGAUGAUCAGAUACC